rnacentral:lncRNA from 1 species
AGGAUAGUUAUCUUCAGUGAAUCAAAAUGUUACUGCAGAAGGAAUAAAGCUGUUGGUCUCCCUGGUCCCUGACUGUAGCACAUGUGGGUCCUUAUGGGUUUUAGCAAUACCUGUGCAGCUCCUAAAGCACCUGCAUGCAUGCACAGGCUUGCACACACACAUUUCAGUCCCCAAAAAUGCAAAUCUCUGUAUAUAUAACAUGAGGGAGUUAACACAAAAAGUCUCUGAAGGCCAAAACAGGCUGGAAGCAAAUGUUGUUAGGGAGGUCUCCCUCCCCUCUGUAGGUCCCUUAAAGAUUUCUGGUUACUCCAAAAUCAUAUUUCCACUCCAGCAUUUUGCCUUCCUCAGAGGCAGCUGUGAAAUAGCUGCAGCAGCAGCUGAUUAAUGCCAGGUGUACAUCCAGCUCCACGCAUCUGCAUUUGUUGCUGCAAACUUAAGCAAACAAUGACCAAAUGUGCUUUUUCUCAGAGCAGUUUGAACCAUGUGUGCACGGGGAGGCUCCAUCACUGUCGGCCCCUGCCUCGCAGGCUCCAAGGGCCCAAACCACGGCACGGAGCUCAAAGGAAAGUUCAAAAGAUUCCCUUGGAGGAGAGAGAGCAUCUCCAUGUGUCUGGUACUUCUGAGAGCAGCAGUGCUUCAGCUCAGCCUGAGUGAUGCCAGAGGAGGAGCCUGGACCUCAUCCUAACCUGAGCAAGAAGGCAGACCAGUUCACUGCCUGAGCCACCUGCUAUGCUGUAGCAGUAUAGAGGAAAACAGACCAGGUUUCACAGAGUAAGGAUGGGUACAUGAAGUUUCACUAGCUAGCAUAAAAUUUCCUUAUCAUCCUCUGUUAAGAGCUCUUUAGAGAAAUUGACCAGAUAGUACCAUCCUUUGACCAAACUAGAAAAAAAAAAUCUUUUAAUGAUACACAACCAUUCUUAGAUACUCAAAGAAAAAAUUUCACCCUGGAAGUUCAUAUAUUGUCAUGAGACAUAUUGUUUCAGAAGUCCACAGAUUCAGAGUUAUAUCUGAGAGCAAAAAAGUGUUUAUUCGCUUUUCUUCUAAUCUAUGGUAAGAUUAAGAUCAUCCACCUUACCCCCCACCCCCCUCACCCCCCAAAUCAGGAUAUUUCCAGUAUAUUUGGCCGCUGGAAAAAUAUUCAUACCUUUUGCUCCCCUCAAACUCUUUUUUUUUUUUUUUCCUAGGAUAGACUUCUACCUAGGAUACCCUUUACCAGGCUUAUUGCUUAUUUAGUUUCAGGGAGCCAGGGCAGGAGCUACAGGCAGGUUGCAUAAUUUUCAUUUACAAUCGUGCCAUUCAGCGCUGUGGGUUGUCAUUAGUGUUUUAUUAUCUAGAGAGACCAAUGCAAGAGACCACCCUUAAGUCACU